rnacentral:rRNA from 1 species
AACUUAUUGGUCGCGCUUGGUCCGGAAUUACUGGGCGUAAAGGGCGCGUAGGCGGUUCUUUAAGUCAGAGGUGAAAACUGUCGGCUCAACCGGCAGCCUGCCUUUGAAACUGGAGGACUUGAGGGCAGGAGAGGGGAGUGGAAUUCCCAGUGUAGCGGUGAAAUGCGUAGAUAUUGGGAGGAACACCAGUGGCGAAGGCGGCUCUCUGGCCUGUUACUGACGCUGAGGCGCGAAAGCGUGGGGAUCAAACAGGAUGAGAUAACCCUGUAGUCC